rnacentral:rRNA from 1 species
UACGAAGGGGGCUAGCGUUGCUCGGAAUGACUGGGCGUAAAGGGCGCGUAGGCGGCUCAUACAGUCAGGCGUGAAAUUCCUGGGCUCAACCUGGGGACUGCGCUUGAGACGUGUGGGCUUGAGUGGGGAAGAGGGUCGUGGAAUUCCCAGUGUAGAGGUGAAAUUCGUAGAUAUUGGGAAGAACACCGGUGGCGAAGGCGGCGACCUGGUCCUUGACUGACGCUGAGGCGCAAAAGCGUGGGGAGCAAACAGG